rnacentral:misc_RNA from 1 species
AACGGUCUAUACCUGCGGUACCUGCGGAGGGAUCAUUAUUGAUUUUAAAAGGGGAUGUGCUGGCUCUCUCGCAUGUGCACUCUUCAUAAAACCAAUUUUAUCCACCUGUGCACUCACAAGUAGACCUGAGGUUCUCUCUAGUCUAUGUUAUUUCACAAACUAUCAUUUAUAUAAUUGAAUGGUUACUUCAUAUGUUAAAACAACUUUUAACAACGGAUCUCUAGAUCGGAAGAGCACACG